rnacentral:rRNA from 1 species
UGGUGGAGUGAUUUGUCUGCUUAAUUGCGAUAACGAACGAGACCUUAACCUGCUAAAUAGCCCGGCUAGCUUUGGCUGGUCGCCGGCUUCUUAGAGGGACUAUCGGCUCAAGCCGAUGGAAGUUUGAGGCAAUAACA